GGGGGGGGGGGGGGGGGGGGGGGGGGGGGGGGAGUGGAGCGCAGAGAGGAGGGGCGGGCUGCUGUGACGGUAGGUGGGGACGGGGGAGGAGCACGUGGAUAAGCUACCGAUAGGACUGGGCUAAAUGCGGGAAGCCGGAGCGAUUACCGGAGAAUAUAUGGAACCGAAUGGUGCAAUAUUGAAAGACGGUUUUGCUGUCACUUAUAGAUAGGUCCUCGCGGCAUAAGCUAGUUGGUAAGGUAAUGGCGUACAAAGGCGAAGAUGACGAGCCUAAAUGAGAGGGUGAUCAGCCAGACUUGAACUGAGACACGGGCCAGCCUCCUACGGGAGGCAGCAGUAGGGAAUCUUCCGCAAUGGGCGAACACCUGACGGAGCAACGCCGGUUGAGUGAUGAAGGUCUUCGGAUCGUACAACUCUGUUAUUAGGGAAGAACAAAUGUGUAAGUAACUAUGAACGUCUUGCCGGUACCUAAUCAGAAAGCCACGGCUAACUACGUG
rnacentral:rRNA from 1 species